UAAAACCUAAUGACCAAAAGCUACAUACAGAUGAAGACUGGAUCCUGGUACACGUAAACGGUUCACUUGGUCACAGUAGGUGAUGCCCAUAGGCCAGAGCUCCCAGUGAGCAACGGCUGCGAGGACACGUCCGCUUGGAGGGCGCCUGCGCAAGAGGACUCAAUUCAAGAUGGCGGCGGUAGGCCGAGCGCAGAAACGCUGUGAUCUGGACCCUGUGAAGCACAGCUGUGCCCGGCCCACAAGCACUCCACCCUCUCCCCUCCCCACUGACAAGAACUCUAAUGGCAACCCAGUGCAUGGCCUGUCAGGAGAGCAUGAGCUCUAGAGCCCGAGCUUGUUCCUCUCCGUUUUCUGACCAAAGAAUAAAACUUUGCUUCUGAGCCAAA